GAUGAACGCUGGCGGCGUGCCUAAUACAUGCAAGUCGAGCGAACAGACGAGGAGCUUGCUCCUCUGACGUUAGCGGCGGACGGGUGAGUAACACGUGGAUAACCUACCUAUAAGACUGGGAUAACUUCGGGAAACCGGAGCUAAUACCGGAUAAUAUAUUGAACCGCAUGGUUCAAUAGUGAAAGACGGUUUUGCUGUCACUUAUAGAUGGAUCCGCGCCGCAUUAGCUAGUUGGUAAGGUAACGGCUUACCAAGGCGACGAUGCGUAGCCGACCUGAGAGGGGGGGGCGGCAGACUGCAAGGACGGCACGGGCGAGCGUACUACGGGCGGGAGCAGCAGGGAGUAUUCGUGAAUGGACGAAAGAAUGGAGUAAGAAAGUAGAGGGAGAGAAGAAAGUAUUAGGAUACUAAAAAUCUCUUGUUAGUAAAGAAAAAAAACGGCAGGAAUCAGGCCGGGCCUGGCGGUGCGUAAGGAGAAGGCCACGGCUAGCUUCGCG
rnacentral:rRNA from 1 species